GCCCCAGCCCCAGGAUCCCAAGUGUUUCCAUUCUGUGAUCAGGACAGAACACAGACAUCUCACUAUGGAGUUCGUUCUUGGCUGGGUUUUCCUUGUUGCUGUUCUAAGAGGUGUCCAGUGUGAGGUGCAGCUGGUGGAGUCUGGGGGAGGCCUGGUGAAGCCUGAGGGCUCCCUGCGACUCUCCUGUGCAGCCUCAGGAUUCACCUUCAGUAGCUAUGCCAUGAGCUGGGUCCGCCAGGCUCCAGGGAAGGGGCUGCAGUGGGUCUCAAGUAUUAGUAGUGGUGGAAGUAACACAUACUAUGCGGACUCUGUGAAGGGCCGAUUCACCAUCUCCAGAGACAAUGCCAGGAACACAGUGGAUCUGCAGAUGAACAACCUGAAAGCUGAGGAUACGGCUGUGUAUUUCUGUGCAAAGGACACAGUGAGGGGCCAGCAGUGUGAGCCCAAACAAAAACCUACCUGUAGAAGCGGAUUAGCACCACCAGGGGGUGCACAUUAUACACAAUUCUCUUAUAUUCCCAGGAGCAGGUGCAUGUGGAGGUUAUAG